ACGCGACCGGGGGACCCCUACAGGGCCCCGCUGCCACGAGCCACUUGUGGCUGGUGAGCUCUUGGUACGUGGCCGGUGCAAAUUGAAAUGUGCUGUAAAUGGAGAAUACACAUCGAGUUUCUGAGACUUAGUACAAAAAAAAAUGUGAAAUGCCUCGUUCACGGUUUUUUUUCUGAUUACAAGCCUCUUAGCUUCUCCUGCCUCAGAAGCAUCUCCAUCAAUACCAGCGCUGUCCUGCUUCAGUCCCUCUUCCCUACUGCCACAACUUCUAUUUUAUUGGGGAAGGGGAGACAAACUGAGCUGCCUUUCCUCUACCUGUCUGGAAUGUGGAUACAACACCUAGAGGUAAACCAGCCAUCUUGAGACAAUGAGGACCAAAACCUCAGACUGAAGGUGAGAAUAGGAAGACAGAAGACACUAGCACCCUAACAGCCUUUAGCAGCUACACUAAUUUUUGACCACCAGCUCUGAGCCUCCUGUAAAAUGAGAAAAGUAAACCACCAUCUCUAAACACCAUCAUCAGUCAAUUAACUCCUAUUGGUGCGAAUCUAUCAUUUUACAGCUAAAUACAUCCCUAACUGAUCCGUGGAGUAAAAACCCAGAACUACAAGUUGAAGAACACCAUUACGGUUCCAGCUCAGCCAGGAACAAGCUGUGUGGCCCUGAGUAGCCAUUCUCAUCUCUGGGUCUCAGGUUCCUCAUCUCUAUCAGGGGAAGUAGAGUGAGCUGGUCUCUUCCAUCGCUUGUGUUCUGUGGCCUCCUCAUGUUCUUGCUGUAUGUUCUUGCUAGAUGUAAAGAAGUACUUCCUUUCCCUUAAAAUAAAGACUAUUUUGAGGGUUCACUAAGUAUUCCUUUGUUCUUGUGAUGUCAGGACUAACUCCAAGGGCCUGUCCCCUUUGCAUGGUGAAUGUGGUGCAUGUCAAGAAACACACAUCUAGCUGGCGCCGCGGCUCACUAGGCUAAUCCUCCGCCUUGCGGCGCCGGCACACCGGGUUCUAGUCCCAGUCGGGGCACCGGAUUCUGUCCCGGUUGCCCCUCUUCCAGGCCAACUCUCAGCUGUGGCCAGGGAGUGCAGUGGAGGAUGGCCCAAGCCCUUGGGCCCUGCACCCGCAUGGGAGACCAGGAGAGGCACCUGGCUCCUGCCAUCGGAUCAGCGCAGCGCGCAGGCCGCAGCUUCCAUUGGAGGGUGAACCAACAGCAAAAGGAAGACCUUU